GGGUGAGUAAUGCAUCGGAACGUGCCCAGUUGUGGGGGAUAACCAGUCGAAAGAUUGGCUAAUACCGCAUACGACCUGAGGGUGAAAGCGGGGGACCGAAAGGCCUCGCGCGAUUGGAGCGGCCGAUGUCUGAUUAGCUAGUUGGUGAGGUAAGAGCUCACCAAGGCGACGAUCAGUAGCUGGUCUGAGAGGACGACCAGCCACACUGGGACUGAGACACGGCCCAGACUCCUACGGGAGGCAGCAGUGGGGAAUUUUGGACAAUGGGCGCAAGCCUGAUCCAGCCAUGCCGCGUGCGGGAAGAAGGCCCUCGGGUUGUAAACCGCUUUUGUCAGGAACGAAACGGCGCUUGUUAAUACCGAGCGCUAAUGACGGUACCUGAAGAAUAAGCACCGGCUAACUACGUG
rnacentral:rRNA from 1 species